UACGGAGGGUGCAAGCGUUAUCCGGAUUCACUGGGUUUAAAGGGUGCGUAGGUGGGUCUGUAAGUCAGUGGUGAAAUCCCCGAGCUUAACUUGGGAACUGCCGUUGAUACUAUAGAUCUUGAAUAUCGUGGGAGGUAAGCGGAAUAUGUCAUGUAGCGGUGAAAUGCUUAGAUAUGACAUAGAACACCAAUUGCGAAAGGCAGCUUACUACACGAUCAUUGACACUGAGGCACGAAAAGCGUGGGGGAGCAAAACAGG
rnacentral:rRNA from 1 species